AUUGAACGCUGGCGGCAUGCUUUACACAUGCAAGUCGAACGGUAACAGGCCGCAAGGUGCUGACGAGUGGCGAACGGGUGAGUAAUGCAUCGGAACGUGCCCAGUCGCGGGGGAUAACGCAGCGAAAGCUGCGCUAAUACCGCAUACGAUCUAUGGAUGAAAGCGGGGGACCGUAAGGCCUCGCGCGAUUGGAGCGGCCGAUGUCAGAUUAGGUAGUUGGUGGGGUAAAAGCUCACCAAGCCAACGAUCUGUAGCUGGUCUGAGAGGACGACCAGCCACACGGGUGCGGAGAUGCGGCCGAGACUCCUACGGGAGGCAGCAGUGGGGAAGUUUGGACAAUGGGCGCAAGCCUGAUCCAGCAAUGCCGCGUGCAGGAAGAAGACCUUCGGGUUGUAAACUGCUUUUGUACGGAACGAAAAGGCUCUGGAUAAUACCUGGGGCUCAUGACGGUACCGUAAGAAUAAGCACCGGCUAACUACAUGCCAGCAGUCGCCGUAACAC
rnacentral:rRNA from 1 species